rfam:Cryptococcus gattii WM276 chromosome I, complete sequence.
GCCGGCGUGGCCAAAUGGUUACGGCGUCCGCUUCCUAUUAAACGAUUAUCAAAUCAUCCGGUAGCGGGAGAUUGUGGGUUCGAUCCCCACCGUUGGUU